rnacentral:rRNA from 1 species
CAGCACCUCAAGUGGUCAGGAUGAUUAUUGGGCCUAAAGCAUCCGUAGCCGGCUCUGUAAGUUUUCGGUUAAAUCUGUAUGCUCAACAUACAGGCUGCCGGGAAUACUGCAGAGCUAGGGAGUGGGAGAGGUUGACGGUACUCGGUAGGAAGGGGUAAAAUCCUUUGAUCUAUUGAUGACCACCUGUGGCGAAGGCGGUCUACCAGAACACGUCCGACGGUGAGGGAUGAAAGCUGGGGGAGCAAACCGGAUUAGAUACCCGAGUAGUCC